CUCAAUAAAUACACUCUACCUUCCCCCGCCGUAGGUCUCACCGCCGGCGAGCUUGGCCGGCCGGUCCGCCGCUGGUUUUUCCCCCCACUUCCCUGUGCUCAUGCGCCAGGAAGAAGGGAAAAAUCCCUUCCAAUUUUGAUCUAACCCCCUAUUUUCCCCUAUUCACAAACCAGCCCUCCCACCUCUCUCAAAGUUCUCUCGUGAAUAUGCC
rnacentral:lncRNA from 1 species